GUCACGCGAACGGCAACGGUUAUUGAUGAGUACCCUCAUCCUCUUGCCCACCCCCACAACGGGAUAGUUGUGUGGGCUGUUUGCGGGUUCCGUAAUGUGCGCUCAGUGCACCUCGGGCUCGACACUGCGCUACCCCGCAGGACGACCGAUACACGGCUUUCGUGAUCGAUGUUCCGGUAUGGUAGUCCGGAAUGAUCCGGCCAGUG
rnacentral:ncRNA from 1 species